UACGUAGGGCGCAAGCGUUGUCCGGAAUUAUUGGGCGUAAAGAGUUCGUAGGCGGCUUGUCACGUCGAUUGUGAAAGCCCGAGGCUUAACCUCGGGUCUGCAGUCGAUACGGGCUAGCUAGAGUGUGGUAGGGGAGAUCGGAAUUCCUGGUGUAGCGGUGAAAUGCGCAGAUAUCAGGAGGAACACCGGUGGCGAAGGCGGAUCUCUGGGCCAUUACUGACGCUGAGGAGCGAAAGCGUGGGGAGCGAACAGG
rnacentral:rRNA from 1 species